GGUGAGGCCUUCGGGUUGUAAACCUCUUUCGCCAGUGAAGCAGGCCUGCUCCUUGUGGGUGGGUUGACGGUAGCUGGAUAAGAAGCGCCGGCUAACUACGUGCCAGCAGCCGCGGUAAUACGUAGGUGGCAAGCGUUAUCCGGAAUUAUUGGGCGUAAAGCGCGCGUAGGCGGUAAAAUAAGUCUGAUGUGAAAGCCCCCGGCUCAACCGGGGAGGGUCAUUGGAAACUGUUUUACUUGAGUACAGAAGAGGAGAGUGGAAUUCCAUGUGUAGCGGUGAAAUGCGCAGAGAUGUGGAGGAACACCAGUGGCGAAGGCGACUUUCUGGUCUGUAACUGACGCUGAUGUGCGAAAGCGUGGGGAUCAAACAGGAUUAGAUACCCUGGUAGUCCACGCCGUAAACGAUGAGUGCUAAGUGUUAGGGGGUUUCCGCCCCUUAGUGCUGCAGCUAACGCAUUAAGCACUCCGCCUGGGGAGUACGACCGCAAGGUUGAAACUCAAAGGAAUUGACGGGGACCCGCACAAGCGGUGGAGCAUGUGGUCGACGCGGCCG
rnacentral:rRNA from 1 species